UACGUAGGGACCAAGCGUUGUUCGGAUUUACUGGGCGUAAAGGGCGCGUAGGCGGCAUGUUAAGUCAGCUGUGAAAUCUCCGAGCUUAACUCGGAACUGUCAGCUGAUACUGAUGUGCUAGAGUGCAGAAGGGGCAGUCGGAAUUCUUGGUGUAGCGGUGAAAUGCGUAGAUAUCAGGAGGAACACCGGUGGCGAAGGCGGGUCUCUGGGCAGUAACUGACGCUGAGGAGCGAAAGCGUGGGGAGCGAACAGG
rnacentral:rRNA from 1 species